rnacentral:rRNA from 1 species
CCUACGGGAGGCAUCAGUAGGGAAUUUUCGUCAAUGGGCGCAAGCCUGAACGAGCGAUGCCGCGUGAGUGAAGAAGGCCUUCGGGUCGUAAAGCUCUGUUGCGGGGGAAAAAAGGCAGCAUCAGGAAAUGGGUGCUGACUGAUGGUGCCCCGCCAGAAAGUCACGGCUAACUACGUGCCAGCAGCCGCGGUAAUACGUGGGUGGCGGGCGUUAUCCGGAAUGAUUGGGCGUAAAGGGUGCGCCGGCGGUCCUGCAAGUCUGGAGUGAAACGGAUGAGCUCAACCCAUGCAUGGCUUUGGAAACUGGAGGACUUGAGAGCAGGAGAGGGCGGUGGAACUCCAUGUGUAGCGGUAAAAUGCGUAGAUAUAUGGAAGAACACCAGUGGCGAAGGCGGCCGCCUGGCCUGUUGCUGACGCUGAGGCACGAAAGCGUGGGGAGCAAAUAGGAUUAGAUACCCCAGUAGUC